AUGUGGCAACACCAUUUGUGGUCUCUGGGUCACCUGGGCUGGCAUCAAAAUUCAUUUUGGGAGCCUGGGAUGCUCUGGAGUGGUGAAAGGACCAGAGCAAGAGACGGGGACUGGGAAUUUCCUCUUGUUGAUGAACGGCAGGGAAAGAGGGAUCAGGGAAUGUUGGUGGCUCUGGAGCUGCUGAAGCCUCUCCUGGGGUGGCUGCAUGGACCUGGACCCUGCUGGUGUCACCGUGUCCCCAGAGCUCCCUGUCCCCUGUGCAGCCAGGCAGGACUGACCCCCUGUCACUCCCAUUUUCGGUGUCCCAAACCUCCAGGAAAGGCUGGUUCUGAUGGAAAACUGCAGGAAUUUGGUUGGGAAGUCGAUUGUCCACAGCCAUGGAUUCCCCUGGCUGCAGCUCCCAGUUCCUCUCAGGGACCUCAGGGCUCGCUGGGAAUUUGGGUUUCCUCCCUGUGUUUGCCCGAGCCUGGAAAUUCCUGCUCCAGGAAUUUCCUCUUUUCCUCUUUGGAGCAUCCCAAGGACCAGGAGUGCCCCUGUGCCCUCUGGGGCCGCAGGGAGAGCUCCCAGCCCCCGCAGCAAGCAGGGAACAGCUCAGGUGUGGAACAUCCCUCACCUGUCCAGGAGAGCUCCACAGGGCUGGGCUUGGCUUGGGAAGGGGCAGCGAGCUGGAAUUCUCUGCUUGAGCAGGGGAGCCUGGAAAGGACAGGACAGGACAGGACAGGACAGGACAGGACAGGACAGGACAGGACAGCACAGGACAGGACAGGACAGGACAGGACAGCACAGGACAGGACAGGACAGGACAGCACAGGACAGGACAGGACAGCACAGGACAGGACAGGACAGGACAGCACAGGACAGGACAGGACAGGACAGGACACUCCCUUCCCUCAGUGGCAACAGGCACGGGGGGAAAUUUUGGGAAUGAGGCCUCAGCCCUCGGGAAGGGUUGCCCAGGAGGGGUGGCAGCUGUCCCUGCCCACCAGUGCCAGGGGUUCUGGGAGGGCUUUGGUGUCAUCCAGAAUAAUCCAAGCCUCCAAGACCAUCACACCCAACCAUCCCCAGAACUGCCAAGGCCACCCCUGUCCCCAAGUGCCACAUCCCUGUGGCUUUCAACCCCUGCAGGAGUGA
rnacentral:lncRNA from 1 species